rnacentral:lncRNA from 1 species
UUUCUCCACUAAAUUAAUAAACAAUAUUAUAAUUUUUCUUAAAACCCGUGUUUCCUCCCCUAGGUCAUGAAUUAGUGGACGGAGUGGGUAUAUAGCUUUUUAUUCAAUGUCAAGUAGCUAGAGACAUGCAACUAUCGUAUAUAAUUAUGGGUAUUCUUUAAUAAAAACAUACUCAUUCCUUCCUUUUUAAGUGUCCAUCCCAUCAAAAUACUGUUGAAUUAAAAUUUUAUUGGAAAGAAGAGAAAAAGAAAAAAAAACUCAAUCCAUCCAUUAAUAGCACAAUACGCUAACUAAGGGUCGAGCUUCAUCAAAACUUUCUCAGCAAAAAUUCAGUGGAAAAAACACCGUAAAAGGAAAAAAGAGUGCUCGUCUAUAACAACAAAAUAAAAAUAAAACACCAACAAACGAUCCUCCCAAGUCCCCCAAAAGAAAAAUAGACGAAAGAACGAAGAAAUGGAUCGUCCUAAACAAAAAAAGGGAAUGAAAACGAUUUCGAUCCUAAGAAGCUAGCCCCUCCAGAAAUUGAUGCAGGG